UUCGGGAAGCAGUAAGGAAAUGUCUACUUCAUGACAUGGAGAUCCAUAUUGUCAUGCAUCGAACUGGUCAACCGUAGAGCACCGUUUAUAUCUUCUUGUUCAGUCUCAGAAGGUAGCAUAUGAACGCAGAUAUUGUUUUGAUCAGUGCAAACGACCUCCUUACUUCUGCUCAAAGCAUGCCUGCAUUGCCAGCUCCCCUUCCACGUCUUCUUCUUCUCCUCCUCCUCCUCUCCAUCUAUUCUCCAACUCUGGCCACCGAGUUCCUCUUCAAUGGGUUCAAAGAAGCUGCUAAUUUGAGCUUGGAUGCCUCGGCCCUUAUCACUUCCAAUGGAGUUCUCCAGCUGACCAAUGACAGCAAGAGACAGAUAGGUCAUGCUUUUCUUUCUUCUCCGGUGCACAUGCUUCACAACCGAUCCGUUGCCGCCUCAUUCAGCACGACCUUCGUGUUCGACAUCGUCACUGUUAAUGGCGGUGGCGGCGAUGGCCUGGCCUUUGUGGUUGCCACCUCCAAAACCCUGCCUGGAGCUGAGGAUGGCCAGUUCCUUGGACUCCUCAGCACCCAGAACAAUGGCAAUUUCUCCAAUCAUCUCUUUGCCAUAGAAUUCGACACGGUGAAGGCCACUGGACCAUUCAAUGACAUCGAUAAGAACCAUAUCGGUGUGGACGUCAACAGCCUCGAAUCAAAUGUCGCAAAGCCCGCCGCCUAUUUCGCAGAUGGUGGCAAUAAGGUGUCCGUAGAACUGCUGAGUGCGCAGCCAAACCAGGCCUGGAUCGACUACAACGGUUCCACAAGCAUUCUGAACGUGACCAUCGCUCCGCUGCGGCUCCCCAGACCACGCCGCCCUCUCAUAUCGCACGCCAUCGAUCUAUCGCCAAUCUUCGAGGAGUACAUGUACGUUGGAUUCUCCGCCGCAACCGGAAAUCUCACAAGCUACCACUAUAUCUUGGGUUGGAGCUUCAGCACGGAUGGAGUCGCGUCGAACCUCGAUCCAUCUCAGCUGCCCCUUCCCCCAAGGCAAAAGGAAGCAUCAACAGCUUCAACAACCAGUAAGCUGAAGACCGCAGUAGGGGUUAUCGUGGGGUUCCUGGUCUUUGGACUGAUCAUUGUACUGCUUAUAAAUUAUCGUCGCUUGCUUUCAUUCAUUCUGUUCGUGAAUGAAUAUUGUGGUGACAACACAAAGUUCAUAACCGAGAUCAGGCCGGAUGAGGCAUAGGAACAUGGUGCAGCUCCGGUGCAAGCGGAACGAGGACCUCCUCCUCGUCUAAGACGUCAUGCCCAAUGGGAGUCUCGACACCUUCCUCUACGACAACGACAAGAGCCAGCAACUGAAUUGGAACCAGAGGUUCAAGAUCCUCAAGGACAUAGCUUUCGGCCUCCUCUACCUGCACGAAGAAUGGGAGCAAGUGGUCGUCCACAGAGACAUCAAGUCCAACAACGUGCUACUGGACGCCGACAUGAACGCAAGGCUGGGUGAUUUCGGCCUCGCCAGACUGCACGAGCAUGGAGAGAAUCCUCACACAACCCAUGUCGCGGGAACUCUUGGAUACAUCCCGCCGGAAAUGUGCCACGCCGGCAGGGCUGCUCUCAGUUCUGACGUGUUCGCCUACGGCAUACUGCUCUUCGAAGGGGCCUGCGGCCGGAGGCCGAUACAGCCUACUGCUCCGCCGAGUGAGCUGGUGUUGAUGGAGUGGGUGAGAAAAUGCCACAUGGAGGACAAACUACUGGAGGUUGUGGAUCCAAGACUGGGUGGGUUGUACCCGGAGCAGGAGAUCAAGCUGGUGCUGAGGCUUCGGCUGCUUUGCUCUCGGUCCAUCCCUGAAGCGCGGCCAACCAUGAGUCAGGUGACGCAGUAUCUCGACGGCACCGACGACCUGACAGAUGAUGUUGCAUUUGUGUUCUCAGAAGCCGAUUCAAUGGAUUUGGCAUCUCGGCUGUCGAUCACUUCAUCUUGGAGUGGUAUGGGCUCUCGGUCACUCCAUCAAGGGAAAUGA